rnacentral:rRNA from 1 species
UACGAAGGGGGCGAGCGUUGUUCGGAUUUACUGGGCGUAAAGGGCGCGCAGGCGGCGCAUUUUGUCAGGCGUGAAAGCCCCGGGCUUAACCUGGGAACUGCGUUUGAUACGGAUGGGCUAGAGUUCGGUAGGGGAGACUGGAAUUCCUGGUGUAGCGGUGGAAUGCGCAGAUAUCAGGAGGAACACCGGUGGCGAAGGCGGGUCUCUGGGCCGAAACUGACGCUGAGGAGCGAAAGCGUGGGGAGCGAACAGG